rnacentral:rRNA from 1 species
CCUACGGGUGGCAGCAGUGAGGAAUAUUGGUCAAUGGGCGCGAGCCUGAACCAGCCAAGUAGCGUGAAGGAUGACUGUCCCACGGGUUGUAAACUUCUUUUAUAAAGGAAUAAAGUGAGGCACGUGUGCCUUACUGUAUGUACUUUAUGAAUAAGGAUCGGCUAACUCCGUGCCAGCAGCCGCGGUAAUACGGAGGAUCCGAGCGUUAUCCGGAUUUAUUGGGUUUAAAGGGAUCGUAGGUGGGUUGUUAAGUCAGUUGUUAAAGUUUGCGGCUCAACCCUAAACCUGCAUUUGAUACUGGCAGUCUUGAGUGGGGUAGAAGUAGGCGGAAUGCGUGGUGUAGCGGUGAAAUGCUUAGAUAUCACGCAGAACUCCGAUUGCGAAGGCAGCUUACU